GUUGGCUGUUAGCUCAUUGUGAACAUAACUCUAAAAUCUCCUUGGAGAGUUGUGGCACUCAAACAUCAUAUUUUCUGGUCAUUACCAACAAACUAGCUCUGGAAUCAGAUUUAGCAUGCUCUGGACACCAUCAGCACAGGUACUUGAAAACGAAAAUUCAAAAUUUCACAAUAUCCUAUGUGAAAGCAACCAACAAUAUAGAUAUGGAGCCAAGGAGAAUAUUUGAAUUAAGUUCAAAUCAUAUUCUUGUAAGAAACUUAGGUAUUGAAUUGUAUGCUCUCCAAAUAUAUACCAAGCAGAUAUUGCAAUGAUCAAAUUGACAUAAAUCAAGCCAAAAUGAGAAGAAAUGGUAUCUGGAUUGCUCUAUGCAUUUGCAACAAAGCUUAUUUUAGCAGAAAAAGGCCAAAUUAAACAGAACUGUAACUCCUUUGACUUUUAACAAUCAAUUCCAAAAGAUAAUGCAAAUGAAUUAUAAUUAAGAAAGCAGAUGCAUUUUGCACUUACAGGAAAUAAGGAAUUUCUAAUAGUAAAAGCAUUUACCAUAACAACAUUUCCAUUCUUCUAAUUCCAAAUUGAAUCAAAU
rnacentral:misc_RNA from 1 species